CGGGGUUUGAUGUAAAACGCUGUCUUCGGGAGGCAGGGGUCGCAGGUUCAAAUCCUGCUGCUCCGA
rnacentral:tRNA from 1 species